CCUACGGGAGGCUGCAGUGAGGAAUAUUGGUCAAUGGGCGCAAGCCUGAACCAGCCAAGUCGCGUGAAGGAGGAAUGCCCAAAGGGUCGUAAACCUCUUUUACCGAGUAACAAAAGGCGGGACGUGUCCCGUUCUGUAGGUACUCUGAGAAAAAGGAUCGGCUAACUCCGUGCCAGCAGCCGCGGUAAUACGGAGGAUACGAGCGUUAUCCGGGUUUAUUGGGUUUAAAGGGGGCGACGAUGGGUUGUUAAGUCAGUAGUGAAAGUAUGCGGCUUAACCGUAAAAUUGCAAUUGAUACUGGCGGCCUUGAGUGCGGUUGAGGUAGGCGGAAUUCGUGGUGUAGCGGUGAAAUGCAGAGAUAUCGCGCAGAACUCCGAUUGCGAAGGCAGCCUAC
rnacentral:rRNA from 1 species